rnacentral:sRNA from 1 species
CUUUCCUCUGUCUGGAAAAGCGUAGGCAUCCGGAGGCUUUGGAGGGGAGUCUGGCAGCCCGGCUGGCCCAGGCCCUGCAGCGGCAGCCUUUCCACAGCGCGCAGCGGCGGCCUUUCGAGGCCCUUUCUGGGGGAGAACCUCCUGGAGGGGUUCUCUGUGGGGCCGUGUCAGUGCUCUGCUGGGCCUGCAUCCCCUGCUGGGGAGUAAGGCUGGUCCUGGGGUCCUCCCUGCACAGCCCCCACU